rfam:Megasphaera elsdenii strain DSM 20460 draft genome
GUUAUCUGCCGCACAGGCAGUUUAGAAA